AUUUCUCCAAAAAAUUGGUUUUUUGUAUGAAAAAACCUUUUUUGCGGGUCCUUGGGCUUGGUGAUGACAUAGCCUCUUUGUAUCACCUUGCCUUAAAUGUAUGAGUGGAUGAGUGUCAGCCAUAGAUUUUUGUUAAGGCAAACCCAUAAAAAUCUUGUGCUUUUGUCAUCUGCUUCCAAACAAACACGCGCAAUAUACACACUUUUUGUGUGCAUAUUCUU
rnacentral:misc_RNA from 1 species